rnacentral:lncRNA from 1 species
GAGAAGAAGUGUAAGCAGACCAUGCUAUGUUGCUGAUCUGCGCUGAUCUCCACAUCCAAGUUGGUCCCGCGACAGUUGGGCACCAUUGUGCCUUGCUUCAUUGACAAGGUGAUAUAAUAUGGUGCCCUGCUCGCUCUCACCCAAGCAACCCACUCCAGCGGUCUUCUCUCGGCAGACUGGAUGCAUCGAAAUACCGUUAGAAGGUCCAAUAAACAGUGCUUGGGACAUUUA